rnacentral:rRNA from 1 species
CAUAGCGACUAUCGUGGCAUAUCAAUAAGCGGAGGAAAAGAAACUAACAAGGAUUCCCCUAGUAACGGCGAGUGAAGCGGGAAGAGCUCAAAUUUGAAAUCUUAAAGGGUUUCCCUUUACGAAUUGUAGUUUAAAGAAGUGUUUUCUGUUGGAGUUUCGGUAAAAGUUCUUUGGAAUAGGACAUCAUAGAGGGUGAGAAUCCCGUAUUUGACCGUUACUUUCCAGCUGUGUGAUACACUUUCAAAGAGUCGGAUUGUUUGGGAAUGCAGUCCAAGAUGGGUGGUAAAUUUCAUCUAAAGCUAAAUAUUGGCGAGAGACCGAUAGCGAACAAGUACCGUGAGGGAAAGAUGAAAAGAACUUUGAAAAGAGAGUUAAACAGUACGUGAAAUUGUCAAAAGGGAAGCGUUUGACACCAGUGUUGUUUAGUUGAAAAUCAAUUCAAUAGUUUUUGAUUCUAAGUAGUAUUGACUUCAUCAGCUUGCUGCUUUCUUCUCAGAAAUUAUUGAAUGCACUUUUCAGUUAACAAGUCAACAUCAAUUUCUUUUGUUGUAAAAGGGUAAGAGGAAGGUGGCUUGCGCUUCGGCUCAAGUGUUUAUAGCCUUUUAUCUCUGCAAUCGGAGAGAUUGAGGUCUGCAGCGUAGAUCCUUCGGGGUUAGAUACAUUGGUGCUAAGCUAUAGCCUUGUAUAGACAACUUGUUGACUAUGCUCAGUCAUGUAGCUUACUCGCUUGAUGCUAUUUUACCUACGCUUAGGAUGUUGACGCGCGUGUGUGCGUG